UAUCUCGGUUGAUGAAUUUGCAGGAAGACAUUGGUGCCAAGUGAUGGUCGGAGGAGCCUGAUGAUGGCGUUUUCUUCUUCUGAUUUGAUCGACCGCCAAGUACAGGUUGUUUGGUUUUAAUCUAAUUCUGGUAUAUGUUGUGCAGGUCAGAGAGAUGCAUUGAAGAGUGAAGAAGAAGAAGACGUAAGCAGACUGCUGAAGUUACUGUACGUGGGCUCCCAUCAUCUCCUCCAUUGCAAGAUUUGAAGGUCUGAUUGACAACGAAUGUUUUGCUGCAGCAUUUUGUUUUCUACUAUAACAAUGUCUUUGAUGGAUGCAACGACCAAACUGAUAUCGGUGGAGAUCUACACGAUGGAAGGGAUUACAAUCUUGGUCUUGAAGUCAUCGCCGCUGUGGAGUCCGGUUGGUGAGAACCCAACUGCGUCUGGCUAGGGAGAUUUUGGAAUUACUCCUGAACAGCUUUGUCAUAAUGUGGUCAAAGGAUCACAACAACAAGCAGCAAUAUGGACUGGCCUCAAGGAUUGUCAAAUUUGCUCAGAUACUACCAGAGAAAGGCAUCACUGGACCAUUUAUGGUUUCAGUAGCGUCUUAGCACUUGGGAUAAAAAAAACAGAGACGAUUUGUAUGAUGGAGGAAGCAUUGCAUUUGCAGUGAUUAUCUUGGUUGUUGUCGCAGCUGUCAGUGACUACAAAUAGCCUCUCCAGAACCUGAAUGAUUAAAAGUGAAACAUACAUCUGGAGGUGACAAGAGGUGGAAGACGAGUUAUGACAUUGUGAUACAGAUGAGUUUUUGCCAAUCCAGACAGUGUGCGAUUUUGCAACUCUUGUUGGGACAUAUGACGAGAGAAUGCCCCAUAUUCCAGAUCCUAUAUUGCAGCUGAACUGUCAUGAUGCGUCUCUGGCGAUCAAACCAGUGUUUGAUCGUUUCCAAUCAGUCGUGAUUACAUCAGGCACCUUGAGCGCAAUUGAUCUUUAUCCCCGUCUUCUUAGUUUCACUCCUGUUGUUAGUCGAAGCUUUAAGAUGUCAAUGACACGAGACUGCAUCUGCCCUGUGGUUCUAACUCGGGGAAGGUAAGUUCUACUCAAAUGAA